UCAUACUGCUCACCGUGAACACGGUCCUUUCUUAAACCCAUGUAUUGAUGAUUUUUACGAUGGGUUUCAUUGUUGGUGCCAACGUCGAGAACGAUGGGCAAAAAUCGAUUAGGGUCAAAACCUGCGCAUAAAGUCAUUAAAUGUCCCUUGGCAACUGAAAUUAAGACACCACCAACACCUUGAUCGCCGAUACCCAAAAUACUUCAGAGUCGGUAAUGAUAAUGUAUUCAACGCUAUCGGAUUUUCCAAACUCGGAAAGCUGUUGUUUGAUGUAAGACAAGUCGCUAUGAUCAAUGUCCAAAUAGCAACCCUCGGGAUAACGAUAUAUAUCGGAAAAUUGCUUGAUGGCAUCGCCUUCAGUAGGUGUAUAGAUGAUGGGAAUCAUUUCAAUCAAAUGUUGGCUAAUAAGUGCAUAAAACAGAGUUUGGUUGGUAACACUUAAUUGAGAAAGAUAUAAAUUCUUCUGUAAAGGUUCAUCACCGAUUGCUUUGUACUGUUCAUAACAGCGAUCCACUUGUUGUUGCAAAGUUUCGACAAUGGGGGAAGACGCGAUGAUAUCUCAAAUUUUUGACGUUCCUCAGGUGUAAAAGCGGUGUCUUUGUUAUAUCUAGGAGAGUUCAACAAAGAUACUCCUUUCAACGGACACUCAAUUUGCUCUUUCGUUCCUGUAAGCAUUUUCAAUUAUAAAGUAUGUGUAGAUCAAAAAAUUCCAAAUAUCAGAAGUAAAUAUCCUUUUAAGUGGGUAUUGCCCCUAUUUUUAAAUAACUAUUUUUGUCGACAGUUGCCUCCGGUAAAUGGAUUCAUGUGCUGUGUACUAAUUUGUGCGUCUCAACCAUAAAACGUUGAGUAGCCUAGUCAACCUUACUUGAAUGAUCGCCCUUUUCGCUACGGAUUUUUCUAUCCAAUAGGGACGGCAGGCAAAUCAGCGAAUAAUCACAAAGGGAUUUCCACUACACUUUGGAGCAACACCAUAGUUUCCGUGCUUCCAACGACACCGGACAGUCGGGAACAACGUUUGCAGUAUUACCCAAUAUAGAA